CGUGCUAAGUGUUGUCCUAUUUGUUUGACUUGGUGUCUAGGUGGGCCUAUUAGAAAUCAUAUAUUUUAUCUUUGUCUAAAUCCACCCUAAUAGUAGUCCAAUGCCUCUUGGACCUUAAGCGGGGACGAUAGGCACCUUGUAGAGACGAAAAGCAUGCGGUGGUGGGGUAGGGGUAGUUUAGGCCCUACGGAGAUGAUGACAUCGACUCAGGC
rnacentral:lncRNA from 1 species